AGAUUUAUAAGGGUUUGGAGAGGAUAUUUGCCUUCCAACAAAUAGAAUACAUAAAGGAAAACUUGGGAUAUAAUUACAACUCAAAUCGGUAAACAAAGUGAGAUCGAGGAAACUUAGUAGCAACUUGGAGUCAAAGCCCAACUGCUGGCUUGAAGAAGCGAGGAUGCGAUGCUUGGAGAGGAGCAAGACGCACCAAUUUAUUUCCUUCUUGAAUAAAAGUACUCUGUUUGGCAUCCAAGAAUUAACAAGCAAUUUCAAAAACUAGCAACAUUGAUCGUAACAAGUUGUAUGGAUGGCUCGAGGCGACGCGCUUGGUAUUUUUACACGAGUACUAGACAGCAGUUGACACGGGCGAGGAUUUAGUUAAUUAGGGCGCACAGGUUGAUAGUUCUUGGUGAGCCUCGCACUUGUUCGCGUGGGCGGAGAUUUUAUUUAUUGUUAUAGUCUUUUCUUUGAACUCUUAGAGUCACUCCAUAGUCAUUAAUUUAGUGUCGUGAGUAUUAUCUUUUUAUUAUAGUCUUAUGUUGAAUAUCGUUCUUUAUUAUCAAAGUUGGAGAUAAAUUAGUAUUUCUGGUUGUUAGUGGGAUGAUUAGUAAUGGUGGAGACUUGUUUUGGUUAAUUGAUAAGUUGUCAAUUGUUUGGUUUGAUUAGGAUGGUUGGUUGUUGAUUUUGAGACAGGGAAAUUUUUGGAUAGUCCAAAAACGGGGGAAACUCUGUCCGAUUUUCUGUAAAAUACCGAUGAGCCUUACUUGGGAGCACUUGCUCCUAAGUGCCGGUCAUGAUCCUAUAUUGGGUCGUAACACCAGACUGUGAGACAUGAAGAUGGGUUUGCUAAACU